rnacentral:lncRNA from 1 species
CCUAAUAAACCAUCGCAGCAGGCAAGAAAUCGAGGGACGGAGCAUGGUUGCACGCCAGGAUUUCAGACAUAAUGUGAAAGGACCGGUGGUAGCACCCUACGCCCUAAGACCACCCUUAGCUAGCUCCUAAUUUACGUGAAAAAUGGGGUAGGGCUUAUCUUCCCUGAAUUACCCAAAAAAAAUAUUUAAAGAUAAAAAAGAUGAACGGCUUGGGGGCUGGGCCAGGUCAUGGGACUGGCAC